GCAGUGCCGCCGGACACCGCGGGGCGCUGAGGGGCGGCCGCGUCCCGCCCUCCCCCCUCAGGGCCGGAUCCCCUCGGCGCUACUCACGCUCGAAGUCGGAGUCGGACUCCUCGUCGCCGCGCUCGGGCUCCUCCUCGCCGUUGGACUCGGUCUGCAUGGGCUCCCCGUCGAAGCUGAUCACCCUCCGGCCGUCGCCGGUCGCCUCCUGCUCGCGGGCAUCCCGCAGCCGGGUGAAGUAGUCUGCGGCGAAGCCCACCAGGUCGGCCGGCCGGUGCCGCAGCACCUCCACCGUGUAGCCCUGCAGCAGUUCGGUGAGGCCCGGCGGAAUCUCGAUGCUCAUGGUGCCGGCGGGACCGAGGAGGAGGCCGCCGCCGCCUCCUCUCCUCCUCCCCGCCCCGCGGGCGGCUGUAACGGUGGCGGGCUCGGGCCUCCCUCCGCAGGCGCUGACUGACUCCCACCGCUCCGCUCGCGCGAGCCGCGCCGAGGGAGGUGAGGGGGGGAGGACGGGACGGGAGCUGCCUGACUGCGCAGGCGCGGGAGCGGGCGCGGAGCCAACCGCCGCGCACGCGCCGAGCGGGAAGGCGCGUGCGUCACCCUGAGGCGAGGCCGGAGCGGGCACGAGGGCGCGCGGGGAUAGCAGUGCGCAUGCGCGGCGGGCUCUGAGGGAGAGGCGGGAGGUUCCCGCCCGGUCCCGUUCCGUGUGCCCGGUGAGGCGGCCCAGCCUGGGGCCGCCGGUCCGUGCAUCAGCUGCCGCGGUGGUACUGAUACCGAGAGAUGUUUGUCCAGAUGUUCUACCUCAUGGGAAAACUGAUCUGGUCCUGUUCCCCAGCAAAAAGGGCUGAAAAGCUAAACAGCAGCCUGGAGCGUGGAGGUUCGAAGUGUUUUUGAGUGACGCUUGCAAAUCUGACUUUUAAACUACCUUUAGAACAAAAUGACUCCUUUUGUGUGGUAAAAGAGUAAGCAUAAACUGUGGAACUGUGGAAACUCCUGCUUCUCAUCACCCAGGAUGCUGAGUACAUAGCAGCGUAUAGCAGAAGGGCAGGCAGUCACCGCUUCUUUCAGAAGGUUCCCCUGCUUAUCUGGAUGGUUUUACCACAAACCCAUGCAAAGAUUUUCUCUUCAUCACUGUUGCACAAAGGGCACAACUGAGGAUCCAAGACCACCACCACUCAGUGCUUCUUCUGACUCGAUUUUCAGUGAGGAAGGUCAAUUGGAGAUCUUAUGGCUCUUAUUACAGCACCCAGCCUCUGUUAAAAGGUUUUCUUUGUGAUAUGUCUUCUGUGUUUUUCUGCCAGAAAGAUUACCUCAUGUAUCCGUAUAAAAUGAAUGAAUUAAAAACAAGCACAGGAGGUGGAUUUAUCACACUGGUUUAUCUGAAGGUUUAGUGUGAAGCUGCUUCUCCUAAAAUCUAUUGUGGUUUUUUUACAGCAGCCACAGCAGUUAUGUCCCUUUUCAAGAAAAACAAUUAAUUCUUUUUUUCCAUUUGUCACUGCUACCAUAUUAUUUCUCUGACGGUCUCAAACAAUACAGCAGCACAUUUCAUCUGCUCAGAGUAUAGGAAAUUUUAAAAAUACUGUAAAAAAAUGAAUGAAUGCUGUAAGAAAUAAAAAAACAUUGGCGAGUGAGGAAGAAAGAAUGUGUAAUUCUAAGGGAAUACAAUUAUUUUUCCUUCCCACACUCUUGCACAAAAGGCAUCACAUGACAGUUCCCUGCUUUUGGCAUUAGUCAGCUGCUGUAUUAGCUUCUAACAUUUGUUGAUAAUUUUCUCUCAUUUGUGCCUGUGUAUAUAAAUCUGGUUAUUUACAUGAAAAAAUGUGCUGCCAGUAAAUAUUGUUAUGUCCCUGAAGAGCUACAUUGUGUUAGCCUUCUGAUAUUUAUACGUCCACAUACAACUAAUCAGCUUCAGUGGAACGUAAACAGUAGAUGUCUGUUAGCCUCCUUCUGAAGGUCAGUGGACAAAAUAAAAAGCAUCAAGGUCACCUGAAGCAGUUUCAAGCUGUUUUAUGCCAUAGUUUAUCCUAUUUCUCUAUAUACUUUUUUUUUUUCUUUUGGUGAGGAUCUGAACUGAUGGCACUUACAGGCAAGAGAUUUGUUUGUGAACAAGUUAAUUGUGAUGCUGCCUGCUGUGCAUACAUAUAGUUCAUAUUAAGCUUUCUUUCACCCUAAAUUUGCAUUCCUUGUUUUAAUCAUUACUGUAAUAAGCAUCUGCAUAAAAAGAAUGCUAGAAAAGAAAUUAGGAAAUGUACUUGCAAUCAUAGUAUGAUCCUCUUUAUAAUAACAUCUUUAAUUCGUGUAGCAUGACCAAUGCAAUUCCUGUCCACUGGCCUUGUAGUUUAUUCAGCUCUUAGUAUGCAAUGAGAAAGAAUUCUGUAAUUAAUGAAGCUGAUCCCCACAGUAUUCCUACCAAAAAUAUAUGUGUAUAUUUAGAAUCAUAUUUAAUACUGCUACUUUGUUGGUAUCUGAGAACUAGCCAACUUGGGAUAUUCUGAUUCUGUGAUUCUAUCCCUAUAUUUAUACUGUAUCAAUGCUGCUAAAUUUCGAGGUCUCUUCCUUUCAAUUACCUGUCCUACCUGGUCUUACGUGGCUUUGAUGCAUGCAGGGGUACCGUGGUGGAGCUUCAGUGCUUGUCAUUACCGACAGGAGCAGCGAAGUUGAGAGUGUAAAAACAAAGUCUCUGUAAUUCUGCACUGGGGAAAUGAUCAAAUUAACCCCCCAGACUGGCUCUCGAAAAGUAAAAUAAAUCCCUUUAUGACAAGUAAUAAUUUACUCCUCUCAAACCUUUCACCACUAAGCAGAACUCAGACACUACAUAAACAUAUGUACAUCUUGGAUUAAUUAUACAUGCCUUCAAAUUCCCCUACAAGUAAUUCAGCACAAGGAUAAUGCAAGAACACACUAAAUAUUCUGAUGGUUGACAUUAGAAAAUGUAACCUCUUGUUCAAGGGAAGCUGGAUUUAUUACCAUGAGUGUAGCUUUUGCAUGUUGUAGGUGACACACUAGGAAAUUCUUUCAGACUGGGUAUGUGCCAAAGCAGUCCUGAGCAAAAGCUGUAUUAGGGCCUUAUAUAAAGUGAAGUCCUGUCCUUAGCCUGCUGAACUGUGGAGUUCAUUGUCAUGGGAUGCUUUUGACAGAAAAAGUGAUGGGGAAUAGGGCCAGCACUGGCUUUGAAAUUCAGUGGUUAGUUUGAUUUCCAGUUAUUUGUUAGUUUUAGGUGGAAGGAAGGAUCAUCUAUAGUUAUCCAUCUGCCAGACCAGUCAUCUCUGACUAACCGUUAUUGGGACUGGUUGUUAGGUCUGCAGUACCUUUGGUCUGACCCACUUCAAGCUCCAUGAAUUACUCUAGUCAGAAUUCAGAGCAUCUAAAUACCGUAGGUGCCAUUUUCGUGCUUUGUCCUAUACCACUGCUAUUCGUAAGCAAGUCCUAGAAGAACUUACUAGCUGGUACGUAUAUAAUCAUCUCUCUUUAAUAAGUUUUAAAUCACUCUUCCCAAUUACCAAAUGCCUGUGAGUACAAGUGUUGCAAGAUUUCCUGAGUAAUGCUUCUCUGUCUGUUUUAUUGGCUACUUUGUGAUUUUGUAAACCUUGAGCUCAUCUUUCUUCAGUCUUCUCCAAAUUAAGGCAUCAAAGUCCUGCUGGUCUCUCCUCCAAAAUCAGCCUGCUUCAUCCCCGUGAUCACAUUAAAUACCUUUUCUCUGUAUCUGCUCAAAUUUUACUGUCCUUUUCAUGCUCACACUCUGGUCUUCACAUCUCAAAAUCUGGACUCACAAAUGCUUUUCAUAGCAGAAAAAUGGUGCCUUUUUAUCCUCUCUAAUACAUUUCAUUGUUUUUAUUGUUUGGGGUGUUUUUUUUUCUGGGGGGGGGGGGCGGCUGCUACAUCAUAAUAUAUUGAAGGUACCCCUAAUUUUAGGCAUAAAAAAAUAAAAUUCCCUCUUAUUCAGUAUGUUUCUCAAGUGGUUUAUCAUCAUAUUAAAAAAAAAUGUACAUGUAGUUUUGCAUUUAAAAUUUUAUAUGUUUAAUAUUCAAACUGUGGUUGGUUGUUGUUUUUUUUUUAAGUGCUCUACCUACUGCUUUCUCCUGUCACUGUCAAUGAGUGUAUACGUUAUUUGUGCAUAAUGUACACAAUGCUUCUGAGCUGUCAUUUUAGCACAGGAUCUAAUGCUAACAGAAGAGCAAUCCUGGACUUAGCUACCAGGAUGCAGAGAUCCUUCAAAACAAUGCACAAGAAAAACCAGCUUCUCCUGCAUGUUUGGUUUUGUUCUUAGGAAAGUACUAAACCUAAGAAAGCAGAGCUUUGGUUCUCUUAAUGAGCCAGCUUGCUUCAAGAUUCAAUAUACAUUUUUUCUUGUUGGCUUCUAAAGUGAGUAGAAUGAGUACUGUGUAGUCGAAUAAAUGAGACAAAACUGUCUAUCACUGGAACCAAGGCAGGAGAAAAGAAAAAAAAAAAUCAGCCUUUGGAAUAAGUGUAUAUAAAUAUUUGUUUCAGCUAAAAUAUAUUACUUUGCUACUAACUUUAAUCAAACAAACAUGUUUUGGAUCAUUCUUGGGGAGAUGUUUUGCUGCGUUCAUUGAUAGCUCUCAAAGGGCCAAGGUAGGAGAAGCAUCUGUCUAAGUUUGCAGAUUUUCAUUGACAUAACUUGGUUUCUGUGCACUGGUAACAUUGAUUCUGGUGGUAACAAUUACAUUUUUUUCACGUAGUAGAAAAAAAAUAGUUUCAAAAUACCUGAUUUUGUAAAACAUUUGGCCCUGACAUUACCUUAAUGUAGAAAGAAACGUCUCUGAAUGUUGAUUAUGUCAUCCAUAAGACUUAAAAUGCCAGAUGUAUGAAUCUAGAUAAAAGUACUCUCUGUGACAUAAGACGUGAGCCAACCAUGUUGUAGCAGUUGUGAAAUUGGUGAUUUCCAUAUCAGGAGCUGUAAGCAACUGUACUCCGAUCUGUAAACAGCAAACAUGGAAAUAAGAACGUAGCUAAUCAUUUGGGUCUCCUGAAUGCAAAGAGAAAACUGUACCCACUUUGGUUGUACUUUAGUUCCUGUUCCUAGCAAUGAAAACAUUACAUGCAGAACUCUCCAGUGAAGUUGGUAUAAAUUCUGUGCAGAGGGAGAUAGUGGAAAUAGCAGUCAGUCACAAGGUAGCCCUAACCCUGCUUCAAUGAUUAUGCAGUGUUAGCAUACACAGACAUUGCUACUGAAUAGAAGUAGAACAUUUGUAGAUUGUUUUAGGAGAAGACAGCUGAUCAACUGGCCUGUAUUUUGUUCCAAAACUGAAUCUUGUCAGCAAACCUGACUCUAGCAGUUUUGUUGGGAUUCAGGACUGUGUCCCUACAAAAGAGCUCUACAAUUGGUUUCAUCCUUGAGCCUUUGCUUACCAACCUGGAAUUGUCUUUUUACCCAUACUUGUCCCAUCCUUCGGCUUCUCACAUUUCUACCUUGCACAGUUCAUAUUACCAGCAUUUCCAUGAUGCAAUCCAGGUAUGCCAUACCUGGCAGCAGAGUACUUCAGACAGCUUUCUGUCUGUGGCUGUUUUCAUAUCAUCCAUUGUCACUUUUGUCCAGUGAAUGUGAUUAACCAUUUCUCUGCUACACAGAUACCUUUGCAUUUUCACAUUUAUCAUCUUCCUACACUACUUUCUUGCUAAUUGCCAUUCCUAAAACUUCAUCUGCCAGGUAGACUCCAAAUGCAUAGUCUAUCCCUUGCCCCUUCUGCUUAGCUGCUCUUAGUGGCAGGUUGAGCCUUGGGUAUCUUUCCCCCUUCCUUCAGCACGUGAUCCCUUCUCCAGUUAGGAGUCACAAUGCCUCUGCUCUUUGGCCUCAUUUCAUGUUGUCUGUAAGAGGAAAGCAAUUAACAAAUUUCACUGUUUCUCCUGUUUUGUGCCCACAGAUCUGCACCAUGCAUACAAUUGCAGUACAUGAAGAUGUUAUAGUAUUAUGUUGCACAGUAUGUGUAGGGUGCAUUUUAUCAGUCCUUCCAGCUCAGUACAGCAUAUUGACUAAUUCCAUGCAUUAAAAUUGCUGUAUUAAAUGCAAGUUACAACAGUAAUAAAUGAGGCUUUAUCCACCAGAUCCCCAGCAUUUUAUAUUUUACUCUGAAAAUCCUUUUACAAGCCCUAUUACACGUUAGCACUUAUUUUAAUUAAACUCAUAGCACAGCAUGCAGGUUAGUUAACCAGUGCUCCAGAGCUCCAUUCAGUUUUAGAGUAAAUUAGGAAGCACUUCCAAUUGCGUUUAUCUGUCGUUCUUCACACACUGUGCUUGAGCAUACAUUAUAAAAAUGGUAAUAGAGGAUUAUACGUCUCCAGGGAAAAUAAUGGGAAUCGCAUUCUCUCAAACAUCUCUCUUCUAGGCUGUUUUUUUUUUUUUCUCCAAUUUAGUUUAGAUUCUUGAGUUUUAAAAAUGUAUUUGAUGUUUAACUGCACUUUCGUUGUCUGCAUUAAAGGAGCAGGUGACCUCAGCUUCCAAGCCAGAGGACUAUAAAGCUGCCUCACUAUGUUAAACCCCUUAUUGUGAAUCUCAGCAAAAAAACUGAUUGGUUUAUAGGGCUGAAAAUGCUUGCUGCUUCAAUGAUUGGAGCCAGAUCCUGCCUGUAGCAGAAGCUAAUUUGACGGGUGUUGCUUGUAGAAUGCCUCUCCUGCAUCUUUUUCUAAUUUUCAUUCCCACGGCUUUCAGCCCCAAAGUGUUGUAUUUGAAAAAGAUGAAAAGAAGAAUUUGGUUUUAGGGAAUGCAGUGACACAGUCCUUUGUUAAAUCUGGUUUGACGUGUCUCUGCAUUGACAUCUAGCGUCCAUGCAGAAAGAUCUUUAGAUUACUCACAGCCAUAUUGGCAAUAUUUAUCUCUAAACUUGUAAAGAUUUCUCCAUGUGUAGCUAUUAAGACUAUUAACAAUACCAGGUCAACCAGGAGGUGCUACCAAUGGGGAAAACACAAGAAUCCUCCUACAGUUAACGUUUUGUGUUAUGCAGUGACAUCCAUAUAUUUUUGUGUUCCACAUUUCUCCAGAAACCCAUAGAAAUACGACCCUUUUUAAAGUUAUCCUGUGGACACCUGCAAAAUAUUGUUAGUCUGUUAUCUUCUCUUAGAGCAUACAGCAAUUGUGAACCAGUAUUCAAUACAGGUUUCAUGAAGUAUUGUAGUUCUGUAAUUAGAUAUUACUCUUUCAUUAAGCAAGAGUUUUUUUCAAGGAUGGAAGGCUCUGUUAAGCCCUCUCUUCAUUAAACUCCAUCAUAUCCUUAAAAGCUGUUUAACAAAGAGCUCUUCUUAUCUACUGUUACCUUUGCAAUAACAACUUAUUUUGCUAUUUAUCCAGAACGUGGUAAAAAUUCAAAGCUGCUACAAAAGAAUUUGCUGUUUUGCUUAUGCAAAAUGUUGAAUGGUGGCAGCAAGCAAUUAGUUGUGCUGUUGCUAUACACUUUGCCUCAAAAGCAACUCCACCUUCAUAAUAUUUCCUACUCUUCAGUCAGCAUCAGGUGCUUACACUGGGAUAGCACACACAAGCAUUACACUAGAAUCCUAGAGCCACCAUGUCAGAUCCUAGACCAAUAUGGAAAAGCCAUUCCCUAUUCUGGAAACUCCCUGUAGGUUCAUAUUUUAAGUAUUUCCAUUGUCAGGAUCCAUUUUCAAAGAAAGUUAUUUGAAUUAUAUUACUUCACAAAAUCUUAAAAAGUAACAUUUGAUACAUUAUCUCUUCAAUCAUGAGAAAAAAAUCCAUCCUAUUAAGAACUUGCUAUCAAAAUUUGUAACAUGCAGGUAUAGGCAUUAGCUGCAGAUUUAUUUGGCAGACUUGUAAGGAGGAUCAUUGACUUUUACUUUCAAGGCACCAGAGGACUAAAAUCUGCAAGAGCCUUGGACUUGCACUGCCAUUUUAUAAUGAUAUCAGAUUGAGUUGGUAGCUAGGAUUUCUUAUACGUAUCUAUGUUAUGUUGAUCUUGUAAGUGAUAAAGUUGCAACACCAUCUUUCUCACCCCAAGACUGGCUUACAAUACAGUUACAAAUCUUACCCUCUGAGCAGGGAAAUGCUUUCCAUUUCUCAGCAGCAAGCCCUCUAGCAGCUUGAGUGCCCUGACAAGCUGUGAUAGGAAGGUCUUCCCGUCUUUUAACCAACAGAACUUAGUGGUUAAUUUGUCUUUAUUGACAGUCUGAAGUAUAGCAGGUGACAGCCAUUAACACUGCUUCCAAAUCAUUAAGAGUAGAGCGGCAGCCUUAUUAGAGCCAGCUGGAUUUGGAAAGAAAUGAUCUAUCAAGGAAAGUGAUCUGGAAAUUUCAGUUAACUAAAAAAGAAGAAACCUCUUUCUGUAGUGUUGCAGCUUCAGGAAAAAAAGUAGGACAAGUCCAAGGUGUGCAGUGGGUACAGCUCCUGGCCAAGACUGACUGGGUGGCUCUAAGGGACUUGUGGGCUCUAUUAUUUCAUGGCUGUUUUUGUGUUUAGCCCUCUGGCCAGCCUUGUCGUGGUAUCUCUUAAGCUCUAGAAGAGCUCCCUCUUGGUUUGGUGAUACCUGGCACAACAGGAAAUUUCUGAUGUACAAAUAAUGAAGUUUGCCUUGCAGAGAUGGAAACUUUUGAUGAAAUAGAGCUAGAACAGCCUUUAACCUUUUCUGUGAAGGUCAGAGGAGGGUGAUAAAAUAUUUCCCACACUUUCUGGAAAAGUACUUUUUAUCAGUUUCUGGGGAUCUGUGUCAAAUAUUUACUCUCUUCUUCCUUUCAGUGUUAUAUUAACUUAAUUACUUGUUACAUUAGCUCAACAAUCAGUGAAUCUGUACUAAAAUUACCCGCCGAAUCAAUAGGUCCAGAAGAAGACUGACAGCAUCAUUAAAAUGUAUCCUGCUUAGAGUAUUCAUAAUUUACCUAUAUGUGAUCAUGAGCAGUAAAGGAAUGUGGUAAUGAUUUCAUUCAGAGCUGUCAGGGUACUGACAAAGUCUUUAAUCUGAAAGUGCUUUAUAAUGAGAAUUACAAAUACGCAUUUGUAUCUAUCCUUGUUAUGAUCCAUCAGCCAACUUCCCAGCCCUGGCACUCAGUGCUUCCAGCAAGGCCAAAUUCUGGCUCUGUGCUGUCUGUGGAAGACAGCAGUGGAUGCAGCUGGAAGCAUCACGUUGCUGCAGCAACGCAUCACCCCCCCAGGGACCACGUUGCCUCGGCGACACCAGGUGGGCAGAUGCUGCUAGAUCAAAUUGUCUCAAGGCGGCUACCCCCAAAAAUUGGGCAGCCUUGGCCUUUAGGGGAGAAGGGUCAGUGAGCAGGAGUGGGUGGCCCCUCUGUGGGACUGUUCACAGCCUGAUUUUGAAUGAGGAGGGUGACCGGUGUGCAUUUCCUUGCAGAUGGUGAGACAGGGCUACUGCCAAAAGGAGCUUACUGUUUAAUGUGUUAAGAUAAGACAGCGGGAAGGACAAUGUCAGCAGGAGGGGAUUAGCUGAAGGGAGCAAGUGCUGAGGCCAUCGUUCUUGGUUUAUAUAAUCAGGACCUGCAAAUGUAUUGCAACAUCAGAAAUAAUUGGAGAGCAAUGUCUCUUGUUACACUAUGCAUCUAUGAACGGAGGUAAUCAUGUACAUUCAUUAUAGAAUAGUCUAGUAUUGCAUUACGGUGGAUAAACAUGGCAAAGUGUCUUGUAGGCAGAGGAUUAAGUAUCAAUUUACAAAGGCAAAUACCUCUGUUAAGAUUGUUAGACAUAAAACCUCCCACCCAGGUGACUGUAGGCAGUCCAGCAGUCCAACCCAACUGGUAGGAAAAUGAUGACAGGUUUCCAAGAACCCAGAGGUCCUUUAUCACAACUGUGAUCAGCACCAGAAUUCAUUCUGUUGGAUUUCACUGCAGCCACCUGUGUAACUGCUAAUAACAGAAAAGGGUUCAAAGUCUGAUGCGUAGACAUCAGUUAUCCAUGGCAUUUGAAGAGCAAUUUGAAAAACAAGAUGGUAAAGGACAGAAGAAUUUGCACAGAACGACAGGUAAUUUCCUUAUCACUUAUGUUUUCUUGUAGGAAUCUUUUCUCCCUUCACAUUGUUGGAUUGAGAAGCCUCUUGCCUACUGUAAUUAGCUCUUGAAUAAACAGCAUAUUUUGAACACAA